UAGGGCUCACUGGGAGGGACCAGAACCACAUGGGCCCCAGCCCCACCAUCCACUGUCAUGAGAGUGGGUGGGGAGGGUGGGGGAGUCUUUGCUGAGUGAACAGCACAGUAUCCCAGGUCUUCAUCGGCCUUGCGGGGUGUAGAAGAGAGGACUCCGGCAGUCCUGACCACUCUCCGUCAAGAGUAAUCAGGUUUACCUGAGAAGCAGCAGUGAGCCUGCCAAGUGAGCGGAGAGAUGAUGGCACCCUUCUGGCUGACUGAGCUGGAGACCUCCAGGGAGACUCUCAUAUGUAGUUGACACGUCCUCCAUCAGCCUGGGUCUCUAAGUGACUGCAUGGAGCAGAGCAUUCCACACCCUCAUCACCAACCAGGAUGACUUGAGACUUCACUGGGCUCUAAAGCACAGCACAAAGUGAAGGUCAGUCAGCACAUAAUUGUAGGAACAUUGCUGUGUUGAAAGCAGACUUCAUUACCCUCGAGUCAUCAAUCCUUCCCUGCAGCACAGCAGCAGCUGAAACCCUCUGAGGAAUGGCAUGUCACAAGCCCAGCUCAGGGCUCCCUGUCGAGCUACACUCAGCAAAUUGAAGAUCAUGCUCCCUAUUAAGCUCCUGGCUGGUGCAUCACGCUUUCCAGUCUCCUGCCCCUGAUGAGAGUAGCAGAGAGGAAGGGAGCCCCGGCAGAUGCCCCUUCAGGCUGAAGCAGAAACCCCAGUGAAGGCCGUGGUCCAAGCCCUCCCCUGCUUCCUAUCUUCUGCCUCCUGACCCCCCUGGUGUUUUCCUAAGUGGCUCUGGGUGGUGUGCUCUGACUGCUGUCUCUAGGACCUGUGUUCUAAUUGGCAGGCAGCAUCUCCUCAGCAGUGGUGCUUCAUGAAUCGGCAACACGUGGUUUCCAAGUUGGCUGUCCUUGCUGGAAGGGGUACAACCCGAAUCCCUGAGCGUUAUAUAAAAACAAGCAUAAGAAGACUCUGAGAGCUGAAGAGAAGCAGGCAGAUUGGCCAUGGACCUCAGGAUCCAAGGAACAAUGUAGCAGUGAUUUCCCUGGGUUUUCUUCCUUGCUUCAUGAAUCCUGGGCUGAGUGUCAGAAACGCCAAUGAGGACAGACAUAAAAGCAGCGAGAAAAGCCUGGUCUCUCUAACCAAGGGGCCAGCAAACGGGCAGCCUCAUAAGACAGACGUCUUGCAGACACCUCUCUUCAAGUCAAACAUUAUCCCACCCCCAUGAGCCAAAGCUGAAUGUGGAGCCGAGGUGCCCACCCUUGCCUGACAGUUUGUUACCAGUCACCCCUCAUCCUGCCCUGACCACAGAGGUGUCAGAGCUGGGCAGUCAGAGAGCUGAAACUUGAGUGUCAGCAGUAACAAGGACCCUGCUGGCCAGGUUGUCAGCGGACGUCACUUGGGAAGUAGUAACUAGGCACUCCUAUCCCCACAAUGACAACCCAGAAUUCUACAGCCAGUGGAAACAACCUUGAGGAAUAAAGGGGAAAUCAAGAUGCUCACAGCUGAAGGAAAGCUAAAGGGAUUUGUUGCCAGAUUGACCCUCAGAUAAUGGCUUAAGGAAGUUCUGUAAACAGAAGAUGAAAAAAGAAAGAAACCUUGGAACAUCAGGAAGGAAGGCAGUACAAGAGAGUAAAAUUGAGUUGGUAUAACUUGCUUUCCUUUUUCUCUUUGGUCUUCUAAAUCGCCAUUGAGGCAAAAUUAGGACAAUUUCUGAUAUGGUUAUUGUGUAUGCAGAGGAGACUUUUUAGAUGAUUAUAUUAUAAAUGGGAGAGGGUAAAGAGAGGUAAACUUUCAUUUACACUAGCAAAG